CAGCUGUAAAGGAUUACUGGCUGUCGGCGCCAGUUCAAAAUGUUUCUGUUAAAAUAGUGUCCGAGAGGCGUCGGCCUUCAGAAGAAGCGGGCGAAGGAGCGUUACCUCAACGUGCACACCGGGUAACUGAUUCAAGUAUUUGCAACUAACACUCAUUGAAACCUGCCGCAGACACUGGAAUCAUAGGGAAGCACAGUUCUCUUUGGCAAAAUGAAAUGGAAUGGAAGGCCCCAAGAGAUGGAAAAAUAAAGUAAAUGAUGCGAUUAAUGUGAAAGAAGAUAACAUUCUCCAAAAGAACAGGAAUUCUGCAGAUGCUGGAAAUUCAAGCAACACACAUCAAAGUUGCUGGUGAACGCAGCAGCCCAGGCAGCAUCUAUAGGAAGAGGCGCAGUCGACGUUUCAGGCCGAGACCCUUCGUCAGGACUAACUGAAGGAAGAGGUUCUUUUGAAGGCCCUGACCUGGAGUUACACACUGACCUACGGUUCUUUGUGGGAAUGGGACCCGCUCUUGGGGUUUCACGACUGGCCGUUAUUCGACAUGCCAAUGAUGCAGCCAAAGAGCUUAGCUCGCCUUCGGAGGUCCAGAGUCUUGUGGCUCUGGAGACGGGCAGAUGGAAGGUCGGGGUCCCGGCAGGAAUCGGUGUGUCGUGGCAGUCGGAAGAUCUCUGGUUAUGUGCCCGGAGACCCAAGAUCUUUGGGCAAAGAGCUCGGAAAAAGCAACACAACGGACUUUUAGCAUCGUAAACCAGCGAGUUGUUUGUUAUGUCUCCCCUCCUGCUGUGAAAUAGAGACACCUCUUUCUCCCUUAUUAGGGAGAGAGAGAGCCUGUGGUAUGUCGAAUACUGGGUGAACGAGUAGUCUUUGGAGUACUGCAAGUCUGUGUCUUUGCUGUUGCUUUGCUCAGGCUUGAGUGCUUG